UAGAAAUUUUUUUCUUAUAACAGAAAGAUAAUUAUACGAGAAAUACACAUUUAGAUUCAAUAACUUGAGUCGAUUCCAAGUGUCAAGAACAUGCACUUCUCUAAAUAAACGUUAAUAGAACGGAAACUGCGAUCAGAAUUGCUUUUUAUAAAAACCGACAAAGCAUGGAAAUCUUGGUGUUCCAAAGACGGGCGAUUUAAAAGGUCCCUGAAUCCCUGGACUUCAAACAUGAGAAGCGAUCUCAAGGGACACACUAUGUACUAAAAAUCUAAUGCUGCAUUUUCUUCGACGUUGACGAAUGAAUCCCCUAAGGCGCUAAAAAAGAAUCUUCAUCUUCGCCGUUUCAAUACAAGGAGAAAAAAUGAGAUACGCUCUAAUAUUUGUAAGUGAAAUAUUACUUGUUGCAAAUUCCUGGCGCAAUAAUUUUUACGGUGCUAAUUACUGGACAUCAGUCGGGUGACACAAAGCCGGGCAACUAAUGAUAGUUCGAGAGGAUUUAAAGGACAGAGAGAAGGAGGAGGACGAAAGCAUUUGCUCCUCGUCUCGUAGCCUAUUCUAUGUGAUCUCCCAUAGUGUUUGUCCAGAGGAUGUACUGCCAUCACUAUGAGGAAAUAAUCUUUGUUAGAUCAGUUGGCGUUGAGGGGAGAGAUUCCUGAAAUAAUAUAAUGCGAAAAUUGCAAAUACUGUCUUUAUUCAAGAGGGAUGGAAUCUCUGGAGACUAAAAAUGACUCGAAAUGGAUAUUUUUCCAACAAUUUGAAAAGAAGGAGAAAUUUAUUUCUGUAUCAAUGACGAAUUAAGACUGUACUAAUACGAUGGCCCAGAAUUGUUUAACAUUACUUCAAGGGAAUAAGAAUAUUUGAAAUCCAUGUGAUCUUUGGCUAAAAUAAAAAACUGUAAAAAAUAGAAUUUAAAGGAGAAUUUGAGGAGGAUAUUAAACGAAAAAAAACAUACAAUGGGGGAAAAGAUGAUUUUGUCUGCAUCUCCUGGUUAUGUAUUUGCGAAAGCUACAACGAAUUUUUCACUACUGAAAGGAAUUUUCAAUUUUCAACUGACUUUGAUUUUAUCUUUUACAAAUACUGGUUCGGGAAAAAGAGGAGAAGCGUAUCAAAUUGCGUCGAUCGAGAUAAUCUAUGAUUGUUGGGAUUGAGCCUUAAAGGAUCCUGAAGGAUAGAGAUUUUUAUUUCAACUUUUAAGUAGUAGCAGCACCUCCAUUUGCCACCUAGCAGACAAACUCAAAAUUUGGGUAAAAAGGACAUUUCGAUAUUCCGGAUUCCAGGGGGAUCAGUUGUGGCGUAUCAAUUGGAAUGGAUUAUUUUCUCGUGCUCUACUGGACAUAUAGAUAAGUAUAUCUAAUUAAUUUGUUUGUUUCGUGGAAUUGUGUGACUAUAAUAGUUCGCCUUUUAAGUUUUUAUUUUAGUCAGUAAUUUAUGAAAAUAUUUUUACUGAAAAAUAUUUCGUUCAUUUGAACGUUUCAAAACUUGU